rnacentral:rRNA from 1 species
GAUGUCCGAAUGGGGAAACCUGGCCCUGGUUAUGUGGGGUUACCCUUCAGUGAAUUCAUAGCUGUUGUGGGGGUUUACGCGGGGAAGUGAAACAUCUCAGUACCCGUAGGAGGAGAAAAUAAUAAUGAUUCUGCUAGUAGUGGCGAACGAACGUGGAUGAGGCUAAACCGUGUGCAUGUGAUACCUGGUAGGGGUUGUGUGUGCGGU